GACAGAGGGUGCAAACGUUGUUCGGAAUUACUGGGCGUAAAGCGUGUGUAGGCGGCUUCGUAAGUCGGAUGUGAAAGCCCCGGGCUCAACCCGGGAAGUGCACUCGAUACUGCGAAGCUUGAGUACUGGAGAGGUUGGUGGAAUUCUCGGUGUAGAGGUGAAAUUCGUAGAUAUCGAGAGGAACACCGGUGGCGAAGGCGGCCUGCUGGGCAGUUUCUGACACUGAGGCGCGACAGCGUGGGGAGCAAACAGG
rnacentral:rRNA from 1 species